AGAGUUUAUGUAACAUUCCUGCUCUGUGUUUCUGUGUUGUGGUUGGUAGAAGGAGACUGGGAGCCAGUUUGUGAACUGACACAGAGCUGAAGUGACCGUUCAGUUUGUGAAGGACUGUGUCUGAGCCCCAGGAGGACUCUGAUAGGACUGAUAGAGCCUCCAGAGACUAAAAAGAAGACUGAAGAGUUGUUUAUAUAUUCUCAAGGUAACCUUUGGUUUGGAGGUAACCAGUGAGGUGUUUUCAACUAAACAAAAAGGUUUCUAUAUCGUUAUGAUUUUUUUAUUUCCCAGAUGGCAGUUCCACUCUUAUAAUUUAUUCUAAAAUAUUCUUGUUGGAAAUAUCCAGUACAUUUUUGCUGUGUGCUGUACUCUGGGGGGUAGAAUGUUAAGCAUUUGUAAAGAGUACAUAUGUGUAGCCAGAACCAAGUCAAAGCAAGACUCCCUCAUAGCUCUCAGGGUCUGUGUGGCAAACAGAGCCAUAUGGAAGGAGAGCUGGUAUGUGAUUCCCCUUCUGCCCCUCCUGAAAUUCAGCUGAAUUGAUUUCUUCUCUUUUUUAAAUUUCAUGUGGUUCCUGCUAGACGUCUUUGCACUUUUAUUAGAGCCAAUGAAAUGGCUGAUACAAUCCUUUCACCUCUGUGGUCUUUGUGCCAGCGUGUACUGAUCUUUCCAGCUUGCUUUUCCUGACUUGUUGCUGUGGGAAGUACAUGGGCAAAAUGUGUUUUGUGACCCUGUGAGCUCUGUCCUAUCACAGAUAUUGAGGAACUGCUAAUGCAAACCAGAAUUCAAAUUCUCGCACUGAUUCACUGUCUGUAUAUGUCACCAGACUCGAAAAACUUCAGGAGAAUUCAAAUCAGCUCCAACAUUGAGGCAAGAACAUUGUACUAGCAGACAUUACAUGCUAUUUCUUUAAAGCUAAAGACCACACAGGCUGUUAACACCUCUUGGCCUGUGACUCUAACACUGGAAGAGUGCUGGACACAGCAGAUGUCUUGAGAAGAUCUGGUGUAGGAACGAGAAGCCUGUUCUGCUCCAUUUCCAUGGAAAUCUCCCUGAAGAUGAAGCUAAUUUGGAAGAAAAUGUUCUCUUCACAUCUAAGGCUGCCCUAGAGAAACUCAGAAGGAACAGUGUGUCCUGUCCCAAAAAGGCUACAGACAAGUGAGUUCUAGUCUUUCCUGUCUAACUGAAGGAAGCAGUGGCCGCAGUGCUGAGUCAUUAAUGCACUCCUCAACGCAUCAGCUGAAAAAUGAAGGGAUAGGAACUGACAGAGGAACUGCAGGUACCUACUACAAAAUGGCUGUUGUUGGAUGAAAGUGUGUGUCUGAAAGGUUAGCUGGAAACUCCCCAUCUCGGUUCUGUUGGUGUUUAAGGACUGAUAUUUUGUUAUAGUUAAAAUUUCUACAACAAUUUUCACCUCAACAAUUUGCAUCUGCCAUAGUAACAUGAAAAUGUAAAAUCUUGGUAUGAUGUAUGAAAUGAUGAUUAAUUUACAGCAUUUAUCUUGGUUUACUAAUCAUUCUGGUUUUAGCUGAUAAUUUUAUUUGUAAUCUCCACAGUUAAAUUGCCAUAAAAUAUCAUAGUUAUAAAGACAUUAAUGAGCAGUUGAAAGGAUAUGACACACUGUGAUUUAGGAAUUAAUGCACACAUAAAAAAGGCAAAUUCAGGAGAAAGCUGCUAAUACAUGUACGUUGUGGGAAAAACAAAGCAGGGGAAAAAAAGCUGCAAACCAGAAGAUAAGCACAUGAGCUUUGCAGCUGUAUCACUAAAUGGCAGUUUAAAGAUAUGGUAAAACCAUCUCUGAACAAAGAGUAACAAAGGGCAGAGAAAUUUAACAAAAUAGCCUAGUGCUGAGUGUGAGUGGUACCAGCUGGAAAACAUCCCCAGUCAGUGCCUGAUUAAGCUCUGGCUUGCCAUUUCUCACAAGGACAGCUAAAGAAUGUCCCCCGUUUAAUGAAACUCAGACAUAUCACUUCCACUGUGGAAGCACUGGGGAGCUCCACAAAAGGAUCAGGACCUGCAUUCCCAGGGAAUGCAAAAUGUGAGCAGGAUGCUCUUCGCUGGCAGUACUGGGUAACCCCUACUUACAAGACAUCCAAGGGUAGGACAAGACCUUCGAAGACUGAAGCAGUCUCCAAAUACACAGUCUGCUGCCUUCUUGGGUUUCUGAUCCUGACUACAUACUUCAGGGAAGCAUGGCCAUGGGCUUCCACUGGUGGAUUUGGGCUGGUACCUUGGAGAGCCUCAUGGUGUACACUGGGCUCACUGCUGGCUGGUCCCUCAGUGCCAGGUUGGGAGUGGUGGGAGCUCUGUGUUGCUUUGUUUUUCUCAAGUUGAAGGCAGCAGUUGAAAUCUAGGCUGGGCAUGUCCAUGUCGCCUCUGUCUGAAGUAUGGGAGUACUGGCACUAUCAGCCAGCUCCUUCACCUGCAUCUCUCUCUGGGUAACAUCAUCACCAACCACAUGUGACAGGAAGGAACACACAGUAUCUACAGUCUGCAAGCAAUGCAGAAUUAAAGCUUUCUUAAGAACAACAACCAGAAGCUUAAGGAAGGGGGUAGAUAGAGGUGGGUGAAGUAAUCAAGAAAAUUAUAUGGACUUUGGUACAUUUAACAUGCACUUACCUUUGUAGUAGACUUCAUGUAUUUGUUUAAUUUGGCUAUUCUAUCUCUUGUAAUGAUUGGUCAUGCUGGACUGCAUAGAUAUGAUUAUCCUUUUUAGAUCCCUGUAAUUGCAUGAAGAAGAAAUGUAGAGUUAUGUUUUCCUUCACUAUUAACUGUGUAGCUCUGCAGAGGUGCACAGGGAGAGAUCCAUUUCCUUAUGGCUUGAGACACACAAAUUACAGGAAAUUAUGGAAGUUCCUCCCCCCUUUUCUGUGCAGACAACCCUUUGUUGUGUGUUUGUUCUUCAUAGAAAACAGUUAGUCAUUAAUCAUAUGCAAUCCAAUAGGGAACCUUAUGAUCAAGGAAUGAGGAGUUCAACUAUGCUUCCUUUGAAGCAUGUUUUUCCAAGGCACAUAUUAUCCCAUGGCAAAAGUAAUUCUUAGCAAUAAGGAGAAGAGUUGGAAGUGGUAGAAAUAGAGUAGCAGUAACUCUUUGGUUACUUAGAACUGUCUUGAGGAAUUGCAAUUUAUACCUACAAAAGAAUGGGAAGAGUUUGAAGAAUGGUGUGGUGGGAUAGAGCCCGUAUCUUAACGGGUUGCUGUGUUUAACAGGGUCCUGGCUUCAAACAAACUCAUUUCCCUUUCCAAGACUGCUCAUGGAAAUGCACAUCUGUUGGUCCCUGCUCUCACCCUGCUUUCAUUCAAACACCCAUUCUAAAGAAUAAUGAACAUUUAAGACCUAGCAGAGAUUUUAUUAGCUCAGUCCCCCCAGCACAAUUUCAUUUUGUAUCUUAAAUUCCCCAAUUCUCUUAUUUUCUGUUCUAGCGUUACCUUGACAAUACUUAAACUGCCAUUCAUAAAGGAUUUAUAAUUUAGCUGAUUUAACCCUUGGAUUUUAAUGUAGAAUAUUGAGUACAUUUUAAAUUAAUCCCUCAUAAUGAGAGUAGCUGGUCACUUUUUCUGACCUGUUAAUUUUCUGCAAGCAUGUUACCUAUGGUAGUA